CCCUUAGAUGUUCUGGGCCGCACGCGCGCUACACUGACUAUGGCAACGAGUUUUUCCUUCGCCGAAAGGUGUGGGUAAUCUUUUGAAACAUCGUCGUGCUGGGGAUAGAUCAUUGCAAUUUUUGAUCUUGAACGAGGAAUUCCUAGUAAGCGCGAGUCAUCAGCUCGCGUUGAUUACGUCCCUGCCCUUUGUACACACCGCCCGUCGCUACUACCGAUUGAAUGGUUUAGUGAGGACUCCUGAUUGGCGCCGCCGCCCCGGCAACGGAGCAGCGGACUGCCGAAAAGUUGUUCAAACUUGAUCAUUUAGAGGAAGUAAAAGUCGUAACA
rnacentral:rRNA from 1 species